UUAUGCGUCAAAUAUAUAAAUGACAAAUCCGUUUUGCCCACCGUACCGUAAAGUUGCGAGUUUAUAAUACGUUUUCUCGGUCGCUGUAUUAUCCCUCUAAUAUGUGUACCCGAACGCGGAAAAAAAAAAUAAUAAUACGCGAAGGAAUACGGUUUUGUUAUUAUUAUUUUUUUUUUUUCCCCACUUUUCCCCCGUAAAAGAUUACGUAUUUCCACGCACAAUCGCUAUCGCGUAUUUUCGUCGUUUCUAACGCGGUACGAAAAUAAUUUAUUAUUAUACGUUAUCGAACCUUUAGAAUUCGACAAACUUCUCGCCCGCAAUCGUCUUAUAAGUCUGCACGGAUUUUUGUUUAUCUACGAAAACGAAUUCUUUCUUAUAUUCUCUCGCCUCUGCGACACUGCAUUUUUAUUAUUUAUCUUUCACGGAACAAACG